CGGAAAGAAGAAGAAGAAGCAGAAGAACUCUUGGCUCUAAUGGGGAAGACCACGAGACUGUUCGGCCGGUGCGUGAGGAGCGUGAUGAAGGCGCUGUGCCGGGUGCGGGACUCGUACGUGAGGAGCCUCACGGAGUUGUCCGGGAGCAUGCAACACGCGAUGGCCAUUGGGUGCGGGAGUUUCACGGUGAUGGCUCCGAGCUAUGGCUUUCCGAUGGAGAUGAUGAGUUCUAGGGAUACGAGAGAGAUUUUCCGGCCGUGCGCGGAAGCGCCGGGAAGCCGGAGGGCGCCGUUCAGCCGGG
rnacentral:lncRNA from 1 species